rnacentral:rRNA from 1 species
CAGUAACGGCGAGUGAAGAGGAAAGAGCUCAAAGUUGGAACCUGCUUGGCUUAGCCAAGCCGGAUUGUAAACUGUAGAAGUGUUUUCCUGACACGCCAGGCAAAAAAGUCCUUUGGAACAGGGCAUCAUAGAGGGUGAGAAUCCCGUCUUUGGCCUGAGCAGUUGUCUUUUGCGAUACACUUUCAAAGAGUCAGGUUGUUUGGGAAUGCAGCCUAAAUUGGGUGGUAAAUCUCACCUAAAGCUAAAUAUUGGCGAGAGACCGAUAGCGAACAAGUACCGUGAGGGAAAGAUGAAAAGAACUUUGAAAAGAGAGUUAAACAGUAUGUGAAAUUGUUAAAAGGGAACCGUUUGGAGCCAGACUGGCUUGGCUGUAAUCAAUCUGGGCUUUUGCCCGGAUGCACUUGCGGCCUAUGCCUGCCAACGACAGUUUUAUUUGGGGGAAAAAACCAGGCGGAAUGUGGCCCCUUAGGGGGUGUUAUAGCCUCUUGGAAAAUACCCUGGAUUGGACUGAGGAUCGCAGCGAAUGCCAUUAGGCGAGAUUGCGGCGUGCUUUCGCUGAUAAAUGCUAGAAUUUCUGCUUCGGGUGGUGCUAGUGUUUAAAGGUGGAACCCGCGCUGUAUAUUUUUUAUUCGCUUAGGUUGUUGGCUUAAUGACUCUAAAUGACCCGUCUUGAAACACG